GGUCCUAUAGCUCAGUUGGUUAGAGCGUCGUACUAAUAUUAUAUCACUAUAACAUUAGUUCAUGCGAAGGUCGUGAGUUCGACCCUCACUGGGACCA
rnacentral:tRNA from 2 species